UUCAUGUAAUUAACAAAUUCAAUAUUUAUCCAUGCCAUUUGGUCACCUUCUAUUGGUCAAUUUCUUCAAUUUUUGUACUUUGCCAAAACACUUUUCAGAACAUUUCGUUUCCCUUCAAGUGGCAUGGAUGAAUAUUGAAUUUACUCACUUCUUUCUCUCAUUCAUUUACCACCUCCUUUCGACUUCCUUCUCAUUCUCUCGUCUCCCUCCAGUACAGAGCUUAAACCCACCCUCCUUCUCCUCAUUUUCUGUAAUUCACCAGAGGAAUCGUGUCAAGCCCACCAAUCAUGAUAAGUGACUUGAAACCUGAGCAAAGGUUGUGAUACAAAGGUUGUCAUUUUUAUAAAGUAGUGAUACAAAGGUCUUGCUUCCAAACAUGUCAAGGCCACUUAUUAUGAUUGGCGACUUGCUACCAGAACAAAAUAUUUGGAAAAUUGUUGUUGGUGUCGUCGACUAUGAUAUAGUGUUUGUUAACAUGAAUUGAAACAAACAUUGCAUUUGCUUUGUGCAGUUAUUUGGCAGCAAAAAGUGAAGCUGAUUAUUACAAUAGAGAAUUGAAACAGGAACAAUAAGAAAUCAUUGAUGUACCAGAGACUGAUAUGAAGCUGUUGUGAAUGCUCUCACAAAGAAUCCUCAAGCAUGGCUUGAUUUUAUGAUGAAAACACAACUUCUGCUUUUGCUGCCCAGAACUGAAGUCCUGAUCUGAGCAGCAACAAUACUCCUUCUAAAAGAAAUUCAGGAGAUGAAUGUAAUGAAGAAUAUGGACAACAAGAUUUCUUGACUCCAAAGCAGUUUGCUACAAAGAAUCCAAGGCCCAAGAGUGCAAGACAUUCCAAAGGCAAAUGAUGGGCACCAUUUUCAUCUAUAAACUACUAUCUCAUCUUAGGCAUUAGAGGUGUAUUUUGGAAUAGCUACUUAUUUUGUGUAAGGCAUUAAAUAUUAUCCACCACUCCUUGAACAAUUAACUAUUUUGUUGAAGCUUAUAAGACUUCACAUUAUUUUAUUUUGUAAUGUUAUUUCCAUUUUAGGUUAAAGUAUCAUUUGUUUGUUCUGUUUUACUAAACUGCUGUUCUGCAUUAACCAUUUUAAUUAAAUGGAAUACACAGUGAAUGUUCAGCAUUUGAAACAUUGAGUUUUUACAAAAUUA